AUACAGAGGGUGCGAGCGUUAAUCGGAAUUACUGGGCGUAAAGCGUGUGUAGGUGGUUGUAUAAGUUAGAUGUGAAAGCCCCGGGCUUAACCUGGGAAUUGCGUUUAAGACUGUAUGACUAGAGUACUGUAGAGGAUAGUGGAAUUUCCAGUGUAGCGGUGAAAUGCGUAGAUAUUGGAAGGAACACCAGUGGCGAAGGCAAUCCCCUGGGCCUGCACUGACGCUCAUGCACGAAAGCGUGGGGAGC
rnacentral:rRNA from 1 species